rnacentral:lncRNA from 7 species
AGAAUUGAUUUGUGGAUCCGCGUGUUAUGGUUCGCAACCUCGGGCAGCAAGCAGUGCCCAGAGCCUCAGCAGGAAGCACCAGACCCUGUUGGUGCUCCGACUCCCUCCCAUACGAGGUGCAGCAGCUCACCCGGCCAGGUCGGGAGAUGAGGGACGCGGCAGCCAGGACACGCCGGGACCGCGGCCGAGAUGGGCACCGCGGCGGCACUGCCCCCAACCUGCACGAAGGCGCCCGGAUCCCAGCUUUGCACAAACACACGGAGCUCAGACGCCCAGACCUCCACCAGCACAGCCCAGGCACAGCCGUACUGCUGGGACUGCCGUCGUGUUUCACACAGUUCUGCACUGCGCUCCCAGUGCUCCCAAAGUAGUGAGAAGUCGACAUAUGAGAUGGAAUCCCAACACCAUGCGAAUGCAUGGUCUGAGGCUGAGAGAUGAGCCGUGGAUUGGAGCGUCAGCCCUUCUGCACGUUCCCAAAAGGGGGAGAUAAUUUCAGUCCAGUAAAUGUAAUGCAUGC